rnacentral:rRNA from 1 species
GAUGAACGCUGGCGGCGUGCCUAAUACAUGCAAGUCGAGCGAACGGACGAGAAGCUUGCUUCUCUGAUGUUAGCGGCGGACGGGUGAGUAACACGUGGAUAACCUACCUAUAAGACUGGGAUAACUUCGGGAAACCGGAGCUAAUACCGGAUAAUAUUUUGAACCGCAUGGUUCAAAAGUGAAAGACGGUCUUGCUGUCACUUAUAGAUGGAUCCGCGCUGCAUUAGCUAGUUGGUAAGGUAACGGCUUACCAAGGCAACGAUGCAUAGCCGACCUGAGAGGGUGAUCGGCCACACUGGAACUGAGACACGGUCCAGACUCCUACGGGAGGCAGCAGUAGGGAAUCUUCCGCAAUGGGCGAAAGCCUGACGGAGCAACGCCGCGUGAGUGAUGAAGGUCUUCGGAUCGUAAAACUCUGUUAUUAGGGAAGAACAUAUGUGUAAGUAACUGUGCACAUCUUGACGGUACCUAAUCAGAAAGCCACGGCUAACUACGUGCCAGCAGCCGCGGUAAUACGUAGGUGGCAAGCGUUAUCCGGAAUUAUUGGGCGUAAAGCGCGCGUACGCGGUUUUUUAAGUCUGAUGUGAAAGCCCACGGCUCAACCGUGGAGGGUCAUUGGAAACUGGAAAACUUGAGUGCAGAAGAGGAAAGUGGAAUUCCAUGUGUAGCGGUGAAAUGCGCAGAGAUAUGGAGGAACACCAGUGGCGAAGGCGACUUUCUGGUCUGUAACUGACGCUGAUGUGCGAAAGCGUGGGGAUCAAACAGGAUUAGAUACCCUGGUAGUCCACGCCGUAAACGAUGAGUGCUAAGUGUUAGGGGGUUUCCGCCCCUUAGUGCUGCAGCUAACGCAUUAAGCACUCCGCCUGGGGAGUACGACCGCAAGGUUGAAACUCAAAGGAAUUGACGGGGACCCGCACAAGCGGUGGAGCAUGUGGUUUAAUUCGAAGCAACGCGAAGAACCUUACCAAAUCUUGACAUCCUUUGACAACUCUAGAGAUAGAGCCUUCCCCUUCGGGGGACAAAGUGACAGGUGGUGCAUGGUUGUCGUCAGCUCGUGUCGUGAGAUGUUGGGUUAAGUCCCGCAACGAGCGCAACCCUUAAGCUUAGUUGCCAUCAUUAAGUUGGGCACUCUAAGUUGACUGCCGGUGACAAACCGGAGGAAGGUGGGGAUGACGUCAAAUCAUCAUGCCCCUUAUGAUUUGGGCUACACACGUGCUACAAUGGACAAUACAAAGGGCAGCGAAACCGCGAGGUCAAGCAAAUCCCAUAAAGUUGUUCUCAGUUCGGAUUGUAGUCUGCAACUCGACUACAUGAAGCUGGAAUCGCUAGUAAUCGUAGAUCAGCAUGCUACGGUGAAUACGUUCCCGGGUCU